GACAGAACAUGGAAUAAACCACGGUCACCCAACAAAAAGACAGAACUUUAGUCAUUUAGUCCACUUGACCUUACUAUUCAACAUUUCCAUGCAAUCAUUUGUUGCCUUGUGUAAAGGGGCCUUGAGGCAAGAAUUAAUGUGAACAGGUUGGCUUCAAAAUGCAAGUCACUGGAGUAUAAGUAGAUUCAUUCUUUCCAGGAAUGGUAGUAAUGCUGACAUAAUUAUUUAAUGGAUUUAUUUAUUUUUGUUACUGAGAGAACAUUACCAGCGUAAAGACAUGGCUGACCAAGACCAGACGGAGAGCACACAUUACACCUGUUUUAAGGUCUCUGCACCGGCUGACUCCUAGGACCAAGAGAUAUGAAGAGGCAGCCUUUAGUUAUUAUGUCCCCAGCAUCUGGAAUAGCAUGCCAAAGAACCUGAG
rnacentral:lncRNA from 1 species